UCUUCCGUAGUAUAGUGGUCAGUAUGUGAGCUUGUCAUCGUAUACCGACAGGAUAACGCUCGAGACCCGGGUUCAAUUCCCGGCGGGAGAG